GUCUCUCUGGCGCAAUUGCAAUUGGUUAGCGCGUUAGACUGUUAAUCUAAAGGUUGGUGGUUCGAGCCCACCCAGGGACG